rnacentral:lncRNA from 1 species
CCUCACCCACUCAUUCACUUUUACUCAUUUUUGUGUAUUUCACUGUGCCCUACAUACAGAGGUGCCUCAUGUUUGAUGUUAAAAUAAUACUAGUGUGUGUGGUACGUAAGCACACACAGGAACACGCAGAGAAUACGGUAUAAAGAAGAAAAGAUGUUGCUAAUGACUUGGUAGUAGAAAAUUGUAACUCUGUACUUAAAGAUGUAGCAAUGUGAGUGAGAGUAAGAAAGAAAUCAAGAUAAAGACUUUGUGACAUGGACAUUUUAGGCUGAUGGCAAUCCUGAAAUUCAAAUUCUAACAUGUCAACUAUAACGGAAUUUCAGGGUAAAGACUGAAAAUUAUUUUAAGGAAUAUUCAGCCCACCCUGUAUUCUGAGGUACUUCCAAAUUACAUGAACCAAAUGGUUUCAGUCAAGAAAAUUUUGUGUCUUUGAGCAAACGAGUGACUAACAUAAUAUAUGAUACUUACAUGAUCUUUAGAUAAUAACUGUGAGCCGUUCAAAGCCAGGAACGAGUCUUGUUCAUUUUGGUCUCUCUUUAACAUCUAGACUAGCACUGCACACAGCAGAUGCUCAAAAAAGGCUUAUUGAAAGAGUGACUGUUACCUUUGCAAAAACUUAAAACAAAUGGCUGACUUUCUGGCUACAUAGGUGCACCUAUGCAUGAAUAUAUAGAUAAAUGUAGUAGGAAACAAUUGUUCAUUGGUUGUUUAAUUAUAAACAAAAGCCCUUCAUUCCUUGCAAAGGUUUUAUUGUCUUUAAGUUAAUCUUUAAAUUUAAUUAACUUUAAUUUAAUUUAAUUAACUAAUUGUCUUUAAGUUAAUCAGAUCACUGUCUCCCUCGAAGAAGACUGUCGUUUCUUUGAAAAAUACAGUGUACAUUGUUAUAUCUAAGACUUGUUUAUUUCUACAAUAUUUGUCAGCAUAGCUCUUCUAAAUAUCAAAUAAAACUAAAAUUUAUAAAAUUUUAUAAUGUUAUUUUCACAUGUAUUACCUACUUUUAUUCAAAGUAGUUCAUGUAGUUUGUAAACUCUAACAUAUACAAAUUUACUUCUCUUAAUUUUCUGUUUCAAAAGGACAAAAUCUUUAAUUCUUUUUUUUUUUUUUUUUUUAGUUUUAUGACCUCACCCACAGCAUAUGGAAGUUCCCAGGCCAAGGAUGAAAUCCAAGUCACAGCUGUGACCUACACCACAACUACAGGGCAACAAUAGAUCCUUUAACCCACUAUACCAAGCAGGGGAUCAAACCCACGCCUCCACAAUGACUUGAGCCAGGAGCCACUGCAGUCGGAGUCUUAACCCACUGUGCCAUGGCGGGAAUUCCUAUUUUAAGAUUUUAUAUUCAGAAUUAAAUUUCUAUUCUGCUUACUAAACUCAUUUAUCCAUUCAUUAAGUGCACUAGUCAUUCCAGGGUAUUACUUGCUGAUGAGGAAUUGAGUCUAAAUUUCCUUCGUUAAUGUUGUACAUCCUGAUUCUGUGACUAACUUGGUUCAAAACCUUUGUUCAUUAUUUCUCAGCUGUUAAAUGUCUGAUUACCAGAAGAAGUCCAUGGGUCACAAGGAUCUGUUUUUAGAAUAAUUUAGGCAAAACGAGCAAAAGUUUACUUAUUUGGGAUAUUAUUUCUGAGAAACGAUUAUCAAAAGGAAUUAACUUAUUCUAUUUGUUACCUAGAAAUUAAUAAAUCAAUGGAUGACAGUAUUGCCCCAAACAUAGUGUAAUAAGUGUAUUCGCUGCUAGACUCUAAACCCUACAGGAGCAGAGAUGUAUUAGUAUUAUCUGCCACUGGAUGCCCAAUGUCACGCAGAAGUAUCUGACACAUAAUAAUCAAUCCAAUAAAUAUCAGGUGAUUGGAACAAAACUGAACAGGUAAAGUAAUACAGAAGUUCUUCCAAUCAUUUAUUGAAAAUAUAAUGAGACAUUUCUACAUGCAAAGGAAGUUAAAACUACAUCAAAGGAAAUUAACUAAAACCUUUCUUAUAUUUCAUAUAGAUGUUGUGUUUCAUUCUAAUAUUGAUAUGUAAGUAUGUAUGUGUAUGUGUCCAUUUUGUUUUGUUUGUUUUGACCACACCCAUGGCACACAGCGGUUCCCAGGCCAAGGAUAGUACCUGCCCUAUAGCAGUGACAACACCAGAUCUUUUACUUGCUGAGCUACCAGGGAACCCCCUAUGUGUCCAUCUUGAUAUCAUCUCCAGAUGGUCAUAGAGUUUGAAUGCUGAGAAUGCAAUAAUGGUAAUAAUAAUAGCAAUAAUAAAUAAUAUAAACAUUUAUCAAGUCCUUAUCGUGUGCCAGGAACUAUGUGCAUGUAUUUAUUCAUGUAUUAAUUCUUUUAAUUCUCACAGCUGUUUACCUAGUAAGGCAAAUGCAGUUUUAUCUCUUUUUACAGAGAAAGAAACAGCCAAAUUCUAGAGGUACUAAAAGAUAUAUGGAAAGCAAUGACACCCUUACAGUUUGACCAGCUUGUCAUAUGACUAC